UUCCAGCUCCAAUAGCGUAUAUUAAAGUUGUUGCGGUUAAAAAGCUCGUAGUCGAAUCUGUGUCCCGCGCCGCCGGUUCAUCGUCCGCGGUGUUAACUGGCGUGUCGCGGGACGUCCUGCCGGUGGGCUUAGCUCGCGAGAGCGGCCCAACUCAAUCCCGCCGCGGUGCUCUUCACUGAGUGUCGAGGUGGGCCGGCACGUUUACUUUGAACAAAUUAGAGUGCUUAAAGCAGGCUAAAACUUCGCCUGAAUACUGUGUGCAUGGAAUAAUGGAAUAGGACCUCGGUUCUAUUUUGUUGGUUUUCGGAACCCCGAGGUAAUGAUUAAUAGGAACGGAUGG
rnacentral:rRNA from 1 species